rnacentral:rRNA from 1 species
AUUGAACGCUGGCGGCAGGCCUAACACAUGCAAGUCGAGCGAGUGGCGGACGGGUGAGUAAUGUCUGGGAAACUGCCCGAUGGAGGGGGAUAACUACUGGAAACGGUCUCUAAUACCGCAUACCAUCGGAUGUUCCCAGAUGGGAUUAGCUAGUAGGUGGGGUAACGGCUCACCUAGGCGACGAUCCCUAGCUGGUCUGAGAGGAUGAGCAGCCACACGGGAACUGAGACACGGUCCAGACUCCUAAGGGAGGCAGCAGUGGGGAAGAUUGCACAAUGGGCGCAAGCCUGAUGCAGCCAUGCCGCGUGUAUGAAGAAGGCCUUGGGGUUGGAAAGUACUUUCAGCGGGGAGGCGUUACCCGCAGAAGAAGCACCGGCUAACUCCGUGCCAGCCGCCGCGGUAAUAC